GGGCGCGUGGUGGAACGGCAUACACGCUGGCCUUAGGAGCCAGUGCCUUCGGGCAUGAGAGUUCGACUCUCUCCGCGCCCA
rnacentral:tRNA from 1 species